rnacentral:rRNA from 1 species
AUUGAACGCUGGCGGCAUGCCUUACACAUGCAAGUCGAACGGCAGCGGACCUUCGGGUGCCGGCGAGUGGCGAACGGGUGAGUAAUAUAUCGGAACGCACCUUUCAGUGGGGGAUAACGUAGCGAAAGUUACGCUAAUACCGCAUAUUCUGUGAGCAGGAAAGCAGGGGAUCGCAAGACCUUGCGCUGAUUGAGCGGCCGAUAUCAGAUUAGCUAGUUGGUGAGGUAAAGGCUCACCAAGGCGACGAUCUGUAGCGGGUCUGAGAGGAUGAUCCGCCACACUGGAACUGAGACACGGUCCAGACUCCUACGGGAGGCAGCAGUGGGGAAUUUUGGACAAUGGGCGCAAGCCUGAUCCAGCCAUGCCGCGUGAGUGAAGAAGGCC